AUUGAACGCUGGCGGCAUGCCUUACACAUGCAAGUCGAACGGUAACAGGUUAAGCUGACGAGUGGCGAACGGGUGAGUAAUACAUCGGAACGUGCCCAGUAGUGGGGGAUAGCCCGGCGAAAGCCGGAUUAAUACCGCAUACGACCUAAGGGUGAAAGGGGGGGAUCGCAAGACCUCUCGCUAUUGGAGCGGCCGAUGUCAGAUUAGCUAGUUGGUGGGGUAAAAGCUCACCAAGGCGACGAUCUGUAGCUGGUCUGAGAGGACGACCAGCCACACUGGGACUGAGACACGGCCCAGACUCCUACGGGAGGCAGCAGUGGGGAAUUUUGGACAAUGGGCGCAAGCCUGACCCAGCCAUGCCGCGUGCGGGAAGAAGGCCUUCGGGUUGUAAACCGCUUUUGUCAGGGAAGAAAUCCUUUGGGUUAAUACCUCGGGGGGAUGACGGUACCUGAAGAAUAAGCACCGGCUAACUACGUG
rnacentral:rRNA from 1 species